rnacentral:rRNA from 1 species
AACGAACGCUGGCGGCGUGCUUAACACAUGCAAGUCGAACGGAGAAUUUUAUUUCGGUAGAAUUCUUAGUGGCGAACGGGUGAGUAACGCGUAGACAACCUGCCUCUUAGAUGGGGACAACAUCGCGAAAGCGGUGCUAAUACCGAAUGAAGUGGAGCUUCCGCAUGGAAGCAUCACCAAAGGUGGCCUCUAUUUAUAAGCUACCACUGAGAGAUGGGUCUGCGUCUGAUUAGCUAGUUGGCGGGGUAAUGGCCCACCAAGGCGACGAUCAGUAGCCGGUCGGAGAGGAUGAACGGCCACAUUGGGACUGAGACACGGCCCAAACGCCUACGGGAGGCAGCAGUGGGGAAUCUUCCGCAAUGGACGAAAGUCUGACGGAGCAACGCCGCGUGAGUGAAGAAGGUUUUCGGAUCGUAAAGCUCUGUUGUUUGAAACGAAUGUGCAGACUUUGAAUAAGGGUUUGUAAUGACGGUAUUAAACGAGAAAGCCACGGCUAACUACGUGCCAGCCGCCGCGGUAA